rnacentral:rRNA from 1 species
GACGAACGCUGGCGGCGUGCUUAACACAUGCAAGUCGAGCGGAGCGGAGAACGGGUGAGUAACGCGUGAGUAACUGCCCCCCUCUCUGGGAUAACAGUUGGAAACGGGUGCUAAUACAGGACAGUGGGGGAUGACUCGCGUCCUAUCAGCUUGUUGGUGGGGUAGUGGCCUACAAAGGCGAAGACGGGUAGCCGGCCUGAGAGGGCGACGGGCCACAUUGGGCGGAGAUACGGCCCAAACUCCUACGGGAGGCAGCAGUGGGGAAUAUUGCACAAUGGGGGAAACCCUGAUGCAGCAACGCGCGUGCGGGAUGACGGCCUUCGGGGUGUAAACCGCUUUCAGCCAUGACGCGGUAGUGGCAGAAGAAGCACCGGCUAACUACGUGCCAGCCGCCGCGGUAAUUC